AAUUUUCACUCCCAAAAGACGACAGUUCUAUAUAGUCGCAGAGGAGUGCACAUUCACCCUUCAAUUAGUGGUUAAUAAAGUGUAACGUGUCGUGAAAGGGACAGUUACGCAGUUUUAAAGGGAAUUGACACUUUGUCGAUACAAAAGAAAAAUAUAUUAUUUUCCCCCAGAGCCAUUUCUGCAAAUAUAAACUUUACAAAUUAUAAGAUUCAGUAUUUUACACAAAUAUGGAAAUUUAUUUUCAGUUAAAAGUAGUUAUUUAUUGUUCGAUUAGAAAUUCACGAUACUAAUUUUUUUUAGGAAUAUUGUUUUUUAUAAAAAAGAAAUUUUAUUGUUUUUCCCUUCGAAAGAAAAUGAGAAUUUUUUUUAUUUUUUUGAUAAAGAGGUUUUUUUUUUAUUUAAGAAUGUCGUAGAACAUAUCGAGAGUUAAUAAAUUGCCAAGAAGUUAUUUGAGAAGGAACCUAAAUUCCAUGUAGUGAGCAAUCUCCGUCUCAUGCCAUUCUCACUGAGGUCCUAUAAGCGUUGAAAACGAUUACAGGCCAUAAAGUGGAGUCUCGCAAAAAAAAAAAAGAAAAAAAACUGACGUCGUCGCCGCCACCGUGGAGUCUUGAAGUCAAUUUAGGAAAAGUAUAACGGCUCACUUGCAAAAAAAAAACUACAUGAAAGAAAUUAAAAAAAAAAGCGAAGAAACUUAUUGGAGUACCGAGCGAGCAGGACAGGAGAGGGAAGGAAGGAGAUUAACAUAUGAUACAAGAGGUUUGAGUGAGGAAUAGAAUUAUAAUUAUUUAAAUUUGCAAAAUGGAUAGAAAAAGAUUAGAAUAGAGAUAAAAAAAGAAGAUAGAAAUGAAUAAUAUAAUUAUUAAAAAAUAUGAAAAUAGAUGAUUGAAGAAGAUAAAGGAAUUUAAAAAUUGAUAAUGGACGAACGAAUCAAGAGUAUGGAGAAACAGAUCUAGUAAUCCGUUAAAUCAAGGGAAUCUCUACUAUCAUCAAGAAACAGCAUUCAAUAUAACAUCUCGGCCUAUAAAUUUUGUUUUCAACUUUUACUACCAGAAUGUUCGUGGCCUUAAUACACAAAUAUCUCAAAUUGAAGCUUUUCCAUGAUUUUUGUUUAUAGGACCCUAAUAACACAAGAUAUCUUGGGAUAUAUUGAUAAUAUCCCGCAAAUAUCCUGGGGAUGUCCUUUGGAUAUCAAAAGGAUCUCUUAAGGAUAUCAAAAAAAUCGGCGGUUUGGAUAUCCACAGGAUAUCUCUAUAGACUUUCAUAAAUGUCCUCCAGAUAUCCCAUAGAUAUCGUCAGGAUAUUCUCAGUAUAUCUUCUGGAUGUCAAGAAGAUAUUCUCAGGAUACUAUUUUUAAAGUCAUUAUGAGACUACGAGUGAGAAUAUUUUGUGAAUUAAAUUUUAUGUAAAUAAAAUAAAAUGCAACUUGUUUUUCGAGAAAGUUGUUUAAUUUGAAAAAUUAUUAA